AAUAGAUACCCCGGUAGUCCACGCCGUAAACGAUGAUAACUAGCUGUCCGGGCACAUGGUGCUUGGGGUGGCGCAGCUAACGCAUUAAGUUAUCCGCCUGGGGAGUACGGUCGCAAGAUUAAAACUCAAAGGAAUUGACGGGGGCCUGCACAAGCGGUGGAGCAUGUGGUUUAGUUCGAAGCAACGCGCAGAACCUUACCAGCCUUUGACAUCCCGGUCGCGGUUUCCAGAGAUGGAUUCCUUCAGUUCGGCUGGACCGGUGACAGGUGCUGCAUGGCUGUCGUCAGCUCGUGUCGUGAGAUGUUGGGUUAAGUCCCGCAACGAGCGCAACCCUCGUCCUUAGUUGCUACCAUUCAGUUGGGCACUCUAAGGAAACUGCCGGUGAUAAGCCGGAGGAAGGUGGGGAUGACGUCAAGUCCUCAUGGCCCUUAUAGGCUGGGCUACACACGUGCUACAAUGGCGGUGACAGUGGGCAGCGACCCCGCAAGGGUGAGCUAAUCUCCAAAAGCCGUCUCAGUUCGGAUUGU
rnacentral:rRNA from 1 species